UUGAUCCUGGCUCAGGAUGAACGCUAGCGGCAGGCUUAACACAUGCAAGUCGAGGGGUAUAAUUCUUCGGAUUUAGAGACCGGCGCACGGGUGCGUAACGCGUAUGCAAUCUACCUUUUACAGAGGGAUAGCCCAGAGAAAUUUGGAUUAAUACCUCAUAGCAUUGCAGAAUGGCAUCAUUCAGCAAUUAAAGUCACAACGGUAAAAGAUGAGCAUGCGUCCCAUUAGCUUGUUGGUAAGGUAACGGCUUACCAAGGCUACGAUGGGUAGGGGUCCUGAGAGGGAGAUCCCCCACACUGGUACUGAGACACGGACCAGACUCCUACGGGAGGCAGCAGUGAGGAAUAUUGGUCAAUGGACGCAAGUCUGAACCAGCCAUGCCGCGUGCAGGAUGACGGUCCUAUGGAUUGUAAACUGCUUUUGUACAGGAAGAAACACUACUUCGUGAAGUAGCUUGACGGUACUGUAAGAAUAAGGAUCGGCUAACUCCGUGCCAGCAGCCGCGGUAAUACGGAGGAUCCAAGCGUUAUCCGGAAUCAUUGGGUUUAAAGGGUCCGUAGGCGGUUUAGUAAGUCAGUGGUGAAAGCCCAUCGCUCAACGGUGGAACGGCCAUUGAUACUGCUAGACUUGAAUUAUUAGGAAGUAACUAGAAUAUGUAGUGUAGCGGUGAAAUGCUUAGAGAUUACAUGGAAUACCAAUUGCGAAGGCAGGUUACUACUAAUGGAUUGACGCUGAUGGACGAAAGCGUGGGUAGCGAACAGGAUUAGGUACCCUGGUAGUCCACGCCGUAAACGAUGGAUACUAGCUGUUGGAAGCAAUUUCAGUGGCUAAGCGAAAGUGAUAAGUAUCCCACCUGGGGAGUACGUUCGCAAGAAUGAAACUCAAAUGAAUUGACGG
rnacentral:rRNA from 1 species